GGAGCCUGCGGCUUAAUUUCACUCAACACGGGAAACCUCACCCGGCCCGGACACGGAAAGGAUUGAUAGAUUGAUAGCUCUUUCUUGAUUCUGUGGGUGGUGGUGCAUGACCGUUCUUCGUUUGGUGGAGCGAUUUGUCUGGUUAAUUCCGAUAAUGAACGAGUGUCCGACAUGCUAACUAGUUACUGACCCCGUGUGGUCCAAGUCCAACUUCUUAGAGAGACAAGUAGCAUUCAGCCACACGAGAUUGAGCGAUAACAGGUCUGUGAUGCCCUUAGAUGUCCGGGGCUGCACGCGCACCACACUGAGUGGAUCAGCGUGUGUCUACGCUUCGCCAAGAGGCGUGGGUAACCCGUUGAACCCCACUCAUGAUAGGGAUUGGGGAUUGCAAUUAUGGCCAUGACCGA
rnacentral:ncRNA from 1 species